rnacentral:rRNA from 1 species
CCUACGGGUGGCAGCAGUGGGGGAUAUUGCACAAUGGGGGGAACCCUGAUGCAGCGACGCCGCGUGGGUGAAGGAGUGCUUCGGCAUGUAAAGCCCUAUCGGCAGGGAAGAAGCAAGACGGUACCUGACUAAGAAGCCCCGGCUAACUACGUGCCAGCAGCCGCGGUAAUACGUAGGGGGCGAGCGUUAUCCGGAUUCACUGGGUGUAAAGGGCGCGUAGACGGGCAUGCAAGCCAGGGGUGAAAGCCCGGGGCCCAACCCCGGGACUGCCCUUGGAACUGGAUGGCUGGAGUGCGGGAGGGGCAGGCGGAAUUCCUGGUGUAGCGGUGAAAUGCGUAGAUAUUAGGAGGAACACCGGUGGCGAAGGCGGCCUGCUGGACUGUGACUGACGUUGAGGCCCGAAGGCGUGGGGAGCAAACAGGAUUAGAUACCCGAGUAGUC